AUUGAACGCUGGCGGCAUGCUUUACACAUGCAAGUCGAACGGUAACAGGCCUUCGGGUGCUGACGAGUGGCGCACGGGUGAGUAAUGCAUCGGAACGUGCCCAGAGGUGGGGGAUAACGCAGCGAAAGCUGUGCUAAUACCGCAUGUGAUCUGAGGAUGAAAGCGGGGGACCAGGCAGCAAUGUUUGGCCUCGCGCCUUUGGAGCGGCCGAUGUCAGAUUAGGUAGUUGGUGGGGUAAAGGCCUACCAAGCCGACGAUCUGUAGCUGGACUGAGAGGACGACCAGCCACACUGGGACUGAGACACGGCCCAUACUCCUACGGGAGGCAGCAGUGGGGAAUUUUGGACAAUGGGCGCAAGCCUGAUCCAGCAAUGCCGCGUGCGGGAAGAAGGCCUUCGGGUUGUAAACCGCUUUUGUACGGAACGAAAAGGCUCUGGCUAAUACCUGGGGCUGAUGACGGUACCGUAAGAAUAAGCACCGGCUAACUACGUG
rnacentral:rRNA from 1 species